rnacentral:tRNA from 1 species
GCUUAAAUAAUUUAAACUAAAAUAUUAGUCUUGUAAACUAAAAUUAAGAUUCUUAUAUCUUUUUAAGCU